UCUGUCCUCCGAAGAUUGCUCUGCCAAACCAACAAACCCUCGCCACAAAUUCCUCUCCUCCACCCUUUCCCCUUGAACACGCCGCGUCCAUCCAAUCGCAACAACCUUUCUCUUUGGAUCUAUUAUUAAAGCCGUUUUGUUUCCCGGAUGAACCCGCCGAUCGAUCUCGCGAUGGUGAGUCUCUCAACCAUGAUUUGUGCCAAACGCCCGUUUGUUUAUGUGCAGGUUCCGGGUUGACGGAUGCGUUUUUCUUGCUGGGAUCAUGGGAUGAGCAUAUGCUCGAUCUGCGCAUGGAAACUUCAGAUCUCCCCGUUUGGCGAGCCGGAUCUGAACCGAUCUGUUUCGUCAAGGUGGAUCUGUAUUGUUCUCUGCGACGGCGGGUUCGAGUUCGUGGAGUGGCGAGGCGUUGGAUUCUUUGCCUGCAAGUUCGAGGGAUCCAGUCUUCAGUACCUCGUGCGACGAUCUCUUCUGUAUUGAUAAUUAUUCGAUGAUAUUUCGAUAAUUAUUAGAACUAAGAGACUGGAGGUGACGCCAAGGUAAGAACAUGUAACAAGCGAGGUGCUUGUGUCGAGGGAAAAAAUGAGCGAAAAAAGAGAGAUGUGACUUCCUAGAGGCCUUUGCCAUGUUGGGUGCGCUCGCAUGGCAGGCCGCCACCUUAAUAAAGAUGUUUCUUGUGUCCUGGGGGGAGAUCGCACGGGGGUUAUUUGUUUAGCCCCGGGUUCUCCUCCCCUUGUCGCCCGGUGUCCUUUUGUCUGCUCAUCUCAUCGAUCCGACUACCUGGAACACGACCGACAAAUCCGAAUCUACAAAGUUCUCCAAUCGCGAAACUGUCAUGGAUCUACCACGCAAAGAGCAAGGUACAAUCAACAAUUUACGUUUUCAAUAUAUAGAGCAAUAUAUGAAGUCAAGCUCAGAUCAUCGUUAUUUUCAACAUUAUUUCGAAGCAAGAGCAUUGUAAUUUAGUUGAACGUCAACGUAAUACAAAAUUACAUUGGUUACUGUGGUAUCAGAAUUGACAAUUGAUUGACUAUUGACUUAAAAACAUAUUCAGGUCAUUUGAUUCUUACAAAUAUAUGAUAUGAUACAGUAUUACCCAACUACCAAAUUUUGUACGUAUCAUUGAUGUUACUAAAUCUCACUAGCUUAGUUCUAUUUGAAUAGAAUUUACUCGAUGAUUGAACUAUCCGUUUUCAGAUAUAUGCGGGUCUACUUUGCUUCUUCAUGUAACCUACUAUGAUCGUAGUAGUAGUUACCUUAACACUGGGGUUAUUGUUGUCACCAUCCAUCGCUGAUGGGCUGUAUUGUUUGUUGAUUCCAUCAUUACAGAAUGUACUGUGUAUAUGUUGUGCUUUGGCACACAUAACAACAGUACGGUGCCUUUGUCGCUGUUAUUGCCUUCAUAUUAUAGUUACCUGAUCUUAAAGUUGUCUAGUAAAGACUUGUUUUGUAAGUUCAGUUGUUUUCAAAUGUCUUGUAUCCAUCUUCUAGCUUAUUGUAGACUGGAAGAUCACAACCGUAGACUGGAUAUCUGAAUGGAUGACAGGGGAGAUAAAUUCCUUAAACCGUUGAGGAAAUAUCGCGAAGAUGGCGCUACGUGCCACUUGCGAAGGUUCUGGCCGAUGCUGGAUAAGUUGUACUUGCAAAUGCAGGUUGCUGUUAUUGUCCUACGGAUUAUAUUUUUUCUGCAUCUGCGAUAUUGUUUUCUGGACUACCGGAUUGUAAGUUUAAUUCUUUUGGGCAACUAUUUAGUACCCCUCCGUCCCGAAAUAUUACAUGUAUCUAGUAGUAUUUUAGUAUAUUGGAUCUAUGCACUUUUAGACAAAUAUGAGUCAGUAAAAGCUUCAUAUGGUCGAUAGUUUUUGUUUUUAUACUUUGUUCCCCUGAACUGCUGUUAUGGUGGAUAGUUUUUGUUUUUGUACUUUGUUCCCCAGAACUGCUGUUAUAAAAAAUGGUUCACGCUC